rnacentral:rRNA from 1 species
GAACGGCAAGGGGAGCUUGUUCCCCCUAGAGUGGCGGACUGGUGAGUAACACGUAGGUAACNUGCCCCGCGGACGGGGAUAGCCGCUAGAAAUAGCGGGUAAUACCGGAUACGGUUGUUUUGCGGUGGCAAGACAAAGAAAGAAGCUAAGGCUUCGCCGAGGGAUGGGCUUGCGUCCGAUUAGGUAGUUGGUAAGGUAAAGGCUUACCAAGCCGAGAUAGGUAGCCGGCCUGAGAGGGUGAACGGCCACAUUGGGACUGAGAUACGGCCCAAACUCCUACGGGAGGCAGCAGCUAAGAAUAUUCCGCAAUGGACGAAAGUCUGACGGAGCGACGCCGCGUGGAUGAGGAAGGCCGAAAGGUUGUAAAGUCCUUUUGCCGGAGAAGAAUAAGCGUGGCAGGGAAUGGCCGCGUGAUGACGUUAUUCCGGNGAANAAGCCCCGG